rnacentral:rRNA from 1 species
CCUACGGGAGGCAGCAGUGGGGAAUAUUGGACAAUGGGCGCAAGCCUGAUCCAGCCAUGCCGCGUGGGUGAAGAAGGCCUUCGGGUUGUAAAGCCCUUUUGUUGGGAAAGAAAAGCAGUCGGCUAAUACCCGAUUGUUCUGACGGUACCCAAAGAAUAAGCACCGGCUAACUUCGUGCCAGCAGCCGCGGUAAUACGAAGGGUGCAAGCGUUACUCGGAAUUACUGGGCGUAAAGCGUGCGUAGGUGGUGGUUUAAGUCCGUUGUGAAAGCCCUGGGCUCAACCUGGGAAUUGCAGUGGAUACUGGGUCACUAGAGUGUGGUAGAGGGUAGCGGAAUUCCUGGUGUAGCAGUGAAAUGCGUAGAGAUCAGGAGGAACAUCCGUGGCGAAGGCGUCUACCUGGACCAACACUGACACUGAGGCACGAAAGCGUGGGGAGCAAACAGGAUUAGAUACCCUGGUAGUCCACGCCCUAAACGAUGCGAACUGGAUGUUGGGUGCAAUUUGGCACGCAGUAUCGAAGCUAACGCGUUAAGUCCGCCGCCUGGGGAGUACGGUCGCAAGACUGAAACUCAAAGGAAUUGACGG